CCCACAGCACAGCCUUAUCCGGCCUGGCCCGGCCCCUCGGGGCUCAGUGGGGAACAGUACCCGCCCCGGUCCGCAAUGGGAUAGACCGCGCCCCCUCCACCCCACCGCUGACUUCCGGGUAUGACGGCCCCCAUCCUAUUGGGAUCGUCCUGGCCCGUGCUCCCCGCCCCUCAGGCGCGCGCCAGCCCGGGACUCCGCCCCGCCCCAACCGGGCGCGCGCGGUCCUUCCUUCCGCGCGAGCGCAGGGUGCCUCAGGGGAGACGGCGGAGGCUAACUCUGGACCAACUUUUCAAGCCUAACCGCCAUCUUUUGGGCGUAGAAGUUCCCAGUCGGCCCUGCGCGCCCAGCAAGACUGACCUCAGUCCUCCUGCAUCUGGGGCCUGUGGCGGCUCCGUGAGAGGGAGGAGGAGGUAUAGGGGGAGAGUAGGAGAAGGGGGGGAGUACGCAGGCGCAGUCUACCGAGGGGACCAGGCUUCGAGGGAGGUAACGAGGCACUGGUUUGCUUCUCUCCCUCCCAGCAGGACGCUUGGAACUUUGGCGGCCCAUUCAAACUCUCCUACUUUAGACCUCUACACGCAGCCUCUGCCCGCCCCUUCCCUUCAAGCUUGUUCGAGGAGGCAAGUUUUUGCCCCAGUCCUGGUUUCUACACUCCAGUCUUAGGGGAUGACUCUCCCCCUUGUGACCUGUCUGCCAAUCAGGGGAAGCAGUCGCUGGAUAUCCUUCAGAUCUCCAAGCAGGUCCCCACCUACCUAGGACCCAGGUAUUCAUGGAGGACAUGCCCCUAAAGACCCUGUGUCUGCAGCUUUCCCUCCCUGUUCAAGUUUUGGCUACUCCCCUGUGGGAUAUGUAUUUGUAUGCAUUUGUAACCUUAUCACUUCUCUAGUUGCUUCUAGGGUAGAAGCACUCAUGGGAGUCAUCCAAAUGACCCUGUAACCCCAGCAACUAUCCCAGCCUGAAGCCCUAGACACUGCCUGUAGUCAAUACCCCUCUCCUGACCAUAGGCAGACACAACUCUAUGACCAUUCUCAGCUCUGAAGAAGCUACAGAAUACAGAGACCAUCACCCCUUUUCCCUUAGAUAUUUGGAGAGGGGGGAGAUGACAUGGGCAUUGCACUCCCAGAAACUUGGGCAAGCUAUUAUCAGGGAAAUUCUUCUGCUCCUUUACAUCCUCGUGACUCCUAGCAACAGUAAAUACCUUCUCCCACCCGAAGGUGCCCAAUGGUUGUGUGCGUCCUCAGGUUUGACCCCCUGUGUAGCUAAAGGCUCCUUAGACUCUAAGAUCUCUGCUUACUGGUAACUAUCUUUCCUAAGGUCUUACUCUAUAACAGCAACGGUCUUAAUUGGAGAGGGCUAGAUCUUCUAUUCCUUCAGCAGGGUGGACUCUGCUUCUCUAGGAAAAGAAUGCUGUUUUAACGCAGAUCACACAGGUCUAGUUAGGGAUUCUUUCACAAAUCCCUGUAGACUUGUGGCUUUAUAAAGGAUCAUAUUAACACUGUCCAGCUCAUGGUACUCAGACAACAAUACCAGCCCUUGGAUAUCAUCCCCAAGCCAUGUAAUAACGAUAUAGCCAUGAGGAGGAUUCCUCAUUAUGAACAACCAUAAAGUGGGGAAUGUUAUGUAGUAAAUGAUCAACUGAUCCCCAUUCUAUCUGUCUGGGGCAAAAGAAUGCUCAGUACAAAGUCCCCGGAACUACAGGGUCCUUGAGUAUGUUGACAUAAUCCCUCCUUUCAUCAGGGUCCCUGGGUAUGUCGAUAUCUCUCUCUCCUUUCAUGCUAAGAUCAUUAACCAUAGAAUGUCUCCUGUUAAGUAACCCAAACUGACUUUAACCUAUAUAAAUCCCACUUGGACCAUGCUUCUUUGGAACUCUCUUUGCUGCGCUUCUCCUGGCUCGCUAGUGAUAGACUUCUCCUUGCCUGAAUUGCAUUGUCUCUGUGUGCUCCUUGGGUGGUCAUCCACUAGGACCCUAACACUAAGUUAAAGGGAUAAGUAAGAAAGGCAAGAGAAAGCCCCUCCCCCCUGCUCCCAUGGCUUCUACUGUCUAAUGGGAGAGAAAACAUGCAAAAAAGCUGUAGAAAUAGGCUAUAUAGAGAAUAAAUUGGAAAUACUUUAGUUAAUAUAAAGAGGC
rnacentral:lncRNA from 1 species